rnacentral:rRNA from 1 species
CCUACGGGCGGCAGCAGUGAGGAAUAUUGGUCAAUGGGCGGAAGCCUGAACCAGCCAAGUAGCGUGCGGGAUGAAGGCCCUACGGGUCGUAAACCGCUUUUGCACGGGGAUAACACCCUCCACUUGUGGAGGUCUGCAGGUACCGUGCGAAUAAGGGCCGGCUAAUUCCGUGCCAGCAGCCGCGGUAAUACGGAAGGCCCGAGCGUUAUCCGGAUUCAUUGGGCUUAAAGGGAGCGUAGGCGGACGCUUAAGUCAGCGGUAAAAUUGCGGGGCUCAACCUCGUCGAGCCGUUGAAACUGGGUGCCUUGAGUGGGCGAGAAGUACGCGGAAUGCGUGGUGUAGCGGUGAAAUGCAUAGAUAUCACGCAGAACUCCGAUUGCGAAGGCAGCGUACCGGCGCCCAACUGACGCUGAAGCACGAAGGCGUGGGUAUCGAACAGGAUUAGAUACCCCUGUAGUC